UAGUCCACGCAGUAAACGAUGAAUACUUGAUGUAGGAGGUAUCGACCCCUUCUGUGUCGAAGUUAACGUAUUAAGUAUUCCACCUGGGGAGUACGACCGCAAGGUUGAAACUCAAAGGAAUUGACGGGGACCCGCACAAGCGGUGGAGUAUGUGGUUUAAUUCGAGGCAACGCGAAGAACCUUACCAAGGCUUGACAUCAUUUUGAAAAUUGCCAGAGAUAGCGAUCCUUCCCUUCGGGGACAGAAUGAC
rnacentral:rRNA from 1 species